UACGGAGGGUGCGAGCGUUGUCCGGAAUCACUGGGCGUAAAGGGCGCGUAGGCGGCCUGGUAAGCGUGCGGUGAAAGCCCGGGGCUCAACCCCCGGGUCGGCCGUGCGAACUGCGAGGCUCGAGCACUGUAGAGGCGGGUGGAAUCCGGGUGUAGCGGUGGAAUGCGUAGAGAUCCGGAAGAACACCAGUGGCGAAGGCGGUCUGCUGGGCAGUGGGAGCUUCGGCUCUCUUUAGCCGACACUGAGGCGCGACAGCGUGGGGAGCAAACAGG
rnacentral:rRNA from 1 species